rnacentral:rRNA from 1 species
AACGUAGGUACCGAGCGUUAUCCGGAUUUACUGGGCGUAAAGCGCGUUCAGGCGGUUUGGCAAGUCGGGCAUGAAAUCUCUCGGCUCAACCGGGAGAGGUUGUCCGAUACUGCUGGACUUGAGGGCAGUAGAGGGUGGUGGAAUUCCGGGUGUAGUGGUGAAAUGCGUAGAUAUCCGGAGGAACACCAGUGGCGAAAGCGGCCACCUGGACUGUACCUGACGCUGAGACGCGAAAGCGUGGGGAGCGAACAUG